AUUGAACGCUGGUGGCAUGCUUUACACAUGCAAGUCGAACGGUAACAGGUUAAGCUGACGAGUGGCGAACGGGUGAGUAAUGCAUCGGAACGUGCCCAAUCGUGGGGGAUAACGCAGCGAAAGCUGCGCUAAUACCGCAUACGAUCUGAGGAUGAAAGCGGGGGACCGUAAGGCCUCGCGCGAUCGGAGCGGCCGAUGGCGGAUUAGGUAGUUGGUGGGGUAAAGGCCCACCAAGCCGACGAUCUGUAGCUGGUCUGAGAGGACGACCAGCCACACUGGGACUGAGACACGGCCCAGACUCCUACGGGAGGCAGCAGUGGGGAAUUUUGGACAAUGGGCGAAAGCCUGAUCCAGCAAUGCCGCGUGCAGGAAGAAGGCCUUCGGGUUGUAAACUGCUUUUGUACGGAGCGAAAAGGUCCUUUCUAAUACAAGGGGCUCAUGACGGUACCGUAAGAAUAAGCACCGGCUAACUACGUGCCAGCCGCCGCAGUAA
rnacentral:rRNA from 1 species